UGGGGAAUAUUGCACAAUGGGGGAAACCCUGAUGCAGCGACGCCGCGUGAGCGAAGAAGGCUUUCGAGUCGUAAAGCUCUGUCCUAUGAGAAGAUAAUGACGGUAUCAUAGGAGGAAGCCCUGGCUAAAUACGUGCCAGCAGCCGCGGUAAUACGUAUGGGGCGAGCGUUGUCCGGAAUUAUUGGGCGUAAAGGGUACGUAGGCGGUUUUUUAAGUCAGGUGUCAAAGCGUGGAGCUUAACUCCAUUAAGCACUUGAAACUGAAAGACUUGAGUGAAGGAGAGGAAGGUGGAAUUCCUAGUGUAGCGAUGAAAUGCGUAGAUAUUAGGAGGAAUACCGGUGGCGAAGGCGACUUUCUGGACUUUUACUGACGCUCAGGUACGAAAGCGUGGGGGGCAAACAGG
rnacentral:rRNA from 1 species